CGGGUAUAGCUCAGUGGUAGAGCACAACCUUGCCAAGGUUGGGGUCGAGGGUUCGAAUCCCUUUGCCC
rnacentral:tRNA from 1 species